rnacentral:rRNA from 1 species
GUAGGGAAUAUUGGGCAAUGGUCGGAAGACUGACCCAGCCAUGCCGCGUGCAGGAAGACGGCCCUCUGGGUUGUAAACUGCUUUUAUCUGGGAAGAAAAAGGCCAUGCGUGGCAAAUUGCCGGUACCAGAUGAAUAAGCACCGGCUAACUCCGUGCCAGCAGCCGCGGUAAUACGGAGGGUGCGAGCGGUGUCCGGAUUUAUUGGGUUUAAAGGGUGCGUAGGCGGCUGAUUAAGUCAGCGGUGAAAGACUUCGGCUUAACCGGAGCAGUGCCGUUGAUACUGGUUGGCUUGAGUGUCGGAGGGGUACAUGGAAUUGAUGGUGUAGCGGUGAAAUGCAUAGAUACCAUCAGGAACACCGAUAGCGAAGGCAUUGUACUGGCCGACAACUGACGCUGAUGCACGAAAGUGUGGGGAUCGAACAGGAUUAGAUACCCGGGUAGUCC